GAGGUAAUCUUUUUUAUACCUCUCCUCUGAGCAAGAGUAGAACGGCCAACUGGCUCCAAAACUGGUGACUGAUUACGAUUCAAAGCAGAGUAAGUUGCUGCCAUUGCACCCUUCACUAAAUGGGGAGCAUCCUGCCUGUUCAGCUGGUAUUGAGGCAACUGGUCACAGUGAACUAUCCAGGGAUGGCUAAGAACUUGGGCUGCAGUCAGUCUUUGAUGUGGGUCAACAUGAAGCAUUUUUGAAACGAGGUCCUUCGCUGUAUCUGAAACAGUGUUCCAAUAACCACCGCUCAGAGAGAAUUUUCCACUACCUAUCCGGGCCAAGAUCUCCUCUGGAG
rnacentral:lncRNA from 1 species